rnacentral:lncRNA from 1 species
GACCCACAGACUGAAAAUGCGGCCAGGCGGUGCCCGAAACAUUCUCCCAGCCUCCAAAGAGGCCAGUUUGGCUUUAUUACACGGGAGAUGUAAUUUAUUGGGAGAAAUGUUUGGGUUCGUGUGUCGGAUGGUGGAGAGUCAGAUUUGGAGUUCCCUGGGGAUCUCCGAGGAGAAGGUGUGUUAAGGAAAUCACCAAGUCCCAGAGUGUAGACGAGCCCGAUCCCUUCGCAGCAGAAGCAGAUGUUCACAAAGCAACUGACCAGGCCAGGUGUGUCCUUCAAGGCUACCUGCAUUCAACAGAGGCGACCACAGCCCAGACCCAUCCUUCUUGGGAGAGUUUCAAGAUGCUCCACAUAGUGGUGCCUAGCGCUCUGUGCACUCAGAGGCUAGAAGAAAAGAUACAGAGGUCCUCUUUCAAGGAGAGGCCCUGACGUUUCUAUUCUUACAAGGAUUCUUUGGUAAUAAAUACAGUGAAAACACCGUCACCGUGGAGAUAAUACUUAAUGCUCAAGAGGUACGUAGCAGAGAUUGCAUUCCAAUCAAGGACUUCCGUAACCCUGUCUACCAAGCCAGUAUCACCUGUAGGCCAGUUCACCUCCAUCCAGUCACUUUACAGCACUUGAGUGUUUGCUGUCCGCUCAAUUAAAAUCCUACUCUGGUGGGAAAAACCAGAUUUCCAAAUGGGGACUUUAUUGAUUCAAUAAAAUUUAAGAAAUUCUGCUUAUGGAAAAACUCAUUAACCCAAACUAAUAAAUACGAGUUUACCCU